CACCAGCCAUGUGACCAUUUUCAAGAGGUUCCGGAACUCCGUUCCACCACGUUCCAGCUGAAAAAAAAGCCCUGAUAAAAAACCCUCUGAGGUAGGGCAAUUGCUGUAUUAUAAUGAUUAAGGGGUUGGGUUGCAAUUCAGCACUUUGUUGGUUCCACUCCCACUACUGACUGCUAUAAGCUCAGCAGGUGGCCUUGGGUAAGCCACUUCUCUCAGCCCCAGCUGUAUUGUGGGGAUAAUAAUAACACUUGACUUUUUUCACCACUCUGAGUGGGGCACUGUAUUGCUCCUGUAGCAGUAAAAUCUCUGAUACUGGCCCUUGAUGGGCCUGAAAUGUGAAUGGUUCUAAGUACCAAGGACUAAAAUUUGCGUAAUAUGAUGGCUGCUUAUACUGUCAUCUUCUUCCUUGUAGAAGCAGAGGUGGCUGGAGCCCAGAGGGGAUCAGAGGGCAGAAAAUGGCAAGAACCAGAGCGAUUAUCUCUGAUUUUUGUCUCCAUCCUUGCCUUUUGCAACACUAAGAACGCUCAAGCACAGUAAUACGUUUCUUAACAGAUAACAUAGUUUCAGAGCAGAGAAUACAAACUGCUUCUGCAGUAGUCAUUGGAGUGGUGACUCUCAAUAACUUCAGUUUCUGCAGAGCGUGUCUCCAGGUUCUUGUCCAGAAGUGCAUUCAGUAGUGUUGAAGCAUCCUUGAGUUGGUGGGGCUCUUGCAUCUUGUACAAGAUGGAAAGGCAGCUGCGAUUGCUCAGGUGGUUCAGCGAACAAGCCUUGAAUAGAAUCUCUGACUGCACUGAUACUCCUAAUUGCUACAGAAUUCAUGGCUCUUCCCUGGAGUUCACAGUAGACAAUAUUCACAUUAGGCAUUAUUUUGUGGAUCAAGGACAAUUGAUUGAAUCCUCGGGCCUCACAGGCUCUUAUUUCCUUAAAGCAUUCCAUGAGUUCUUGUCUCCUCAAUGACCACGUUCACUGGGUCGGAUAUUAAAGUUCCAGCAUGUCUGAGAUGACCUCGGGAGUUGUCUUUUUGCAACUGUUUCCAGAACUUUGGUUCUUGUUGCUGAACAUGCUGGAAAACCCGAAAUGUCUGCAAAGAACACCCUCACCUCCUUUAUUUGGGAUGCUGCUUGUUGCAUUAUCAAGUUCAACUGGCAGAACAAUAGAUAUAGUGGGCAAUUUGGGUAUACAUUCUGGAUCUUCUUUUGGACUCCUUCCUGCUGUUGACGCAUCACACUUGCCCCGUCAUAACUAUGAGCAAUAAGUUUUUGCUUGUCAGCCUCUGCAGAGGACAUUUCUUUCAGAUGCUGACAUAAAAGGGCAAUUGAUUCAGCACAAGAAUCCGUCAGCUGUGUGAACACACAGAACUAUCCCCCUGAUGAGACUUCACCACUGAUGUAGCAGAAAAUCAGUACAGAUUGACAGUGCAGUGACGCACCUGUGGUGUCAUCAGCCUCACUGGCCACAAAUUGAGUGUUUUUCUCAACUGCCUAAUGCAAUCCCUGGCCACUCUGAGCAAGCAGUCAAGCAGCUCAAUUCUGAAUUGUCUUUGAAAGACCUCUAAAUACAGCGGCACAGUGCAGGCGAAGCUCCAUGGCAGAGCUGAUGGAAGCAAUCAGGUUCAUGGCCUUUGAACACUCCUGGGUUUACUGAAUUCUCAGUCUUAUGGCCACGAAGCUCCAGUUCAAAUGCAACACCAAAUCUUACGCAAUAUUUUUAUUUUUGAAAGUAUGUUUUUGUUAUUCUCCACUUCCAAGUAAUGAUUUCUGACAUGUAUGCAGUAGCCUGUGUCGCAUUUGUUCAGCAAUGUUGGCGCUGCCUAACACUGGCAGAUAACUGUCCAUAUGUCUGUCUGUCUUUUUUCAGUGAGGUGGUUUGUGUCAUUCAUUCCAGUCUUGCUCCAUGUCUUCUUCCCCCACCCCCAAGAGAAAACAGGGAAAGUGGAACAGAUUUUUGGGGUGCACCCACACAGACACUUCUUUUUCCUCGUUCCAAGCUCUAUUGAAUCUCCCCAUCAAAUUCUUUCUUUUCACUCUCACAGUUUGUUCAAUGUGUAGAUCUGGACAGUCACGCCCAAGUUCUUUAACACAGCAUUUCUCAGUUGCACUAUCUUGAAAAAGGAUUCCAGAGCAAUGCAUCUAUAGUAUUUGUCUUCCCAAUUCACUCAGAAUAAGCAUCCAAAAACAAGAUAGAAGGGAAGUAAAAAAACCAGUUCCAAACAACAAGCCCCACUGUGUUCAAUAGGAUCUAAUAAUAGAAAGCACUGCUACGCACAGUGAGAUUUCUAUGGAAACCUGUAUAGAAUUGUGUUGUAAGGGCCGUUCAGUGUGACUUUAAUUCUAUGUUUCUUAAUUUUAAUAAAAAAAUAUUUGCAUACCCACAGCUGGUCAAGUUUGCAAAGGAAUCUUAACAACCCCCUGCCUCUUUUUGCUAAUGACAGUGGCGUACAGUUUGAGCAGUGUGCACUUUUGUUGAAAAGAAGCAUGUUUUAAAAGAACACUUGUUUUCAGCAAAAAGGGAUAAUUAUAUUCCUUUGUCAUCCUUGCAUUGGCCUGUGGUAUUUUGAUCAGGUGUAAGUGCACAAAUAGCAUUUUAUUGCUAUUGAGAGACAUGGAAUUAAACGUCACAUCUAGAAAGGCACUCAGAAAACAUUCAUGUAUUAGGAUUCUGUAAUUAUUCCAACAGUAUGAGAUGAAAUGAGGUUCAAAAUACAUAAAAGAAGUUUCAGAAGAGACGUUUAAAGAACAGACAUUUCCAAUAACAAUAAUAAAUAAUGGCAUUGCAAUCUGCACAGUAAGGAUCUUCUGGCCAAGUCCCAGCCAAAGAAAUACAUUUUGUAAAAAAUA